ACAAAAUCAUACGAGUUCAUUUAUCUUUCUAGAUGCUAGUCAUGCUUGCUACUGCAAAUCCUCUUUCAACAGUUAUGCUGAUAUUACAGAAUUCACUGAUUUUUAUUAAAAUGCAACAGAGUUUUAUUGGAUAUCCUAUUUAUCUGAUCUUGAAAAUUUUGGUUAAGCUCAAGAGUUGGUUGCUCAUUAGCAAGGAGUUCUGGUGAUGUGAGAGAACCUAAUUAAACAAGUCACUUCUGG
rnacentral:misc_RNA from 1 species